rnacentral:rRNA from 1 species
AACGAGUUAUCUGAACCUUCGGGGGACGUAUAACGGCGUCGAGCGGCGGACGGGUGAGUAAUGCCUAGGAAAUUGCCUUGAUGUGGGGGAUAACCAUUGGAAACGAUGGCUAAUACCGCAUAAUGCCUACGGGCCAAAGAGGGGGACCUUCGGGCCUCUCGCGUCAAGAUAUGCCUAGGUGGGAUUAGCUAGUUGGUGAGGUAAUGGCUCACCAAGGCGACGAUCCCUAGCUGGUCUGAGAGGAUGAUCAGCCACACUGGAACUGAGACACGGUCCAGACUCCUACGGGAGGCAGCAGUGGGGAAUAUUGCACAAUGGGCGAAAGCCUGAUGCAGCCAUGCCGCGUGUAUGAAGAAGGCCUUCGGGUUGUAAAGUACUUUCAGUUGUGAGGAAGGGGGUGUCGUUAAUAGCGGCAUCUCUUGACGUUAGCAACAGAAGAAGCACCGGCUAACUCCGUGCCAGCAGCCGCGGUAAUACGGAGGGUGCGAGCGUUAAUCGGAAUUACUGGGCGUAAAGCGCAUGCAGGUGGUUCAUUAAGUCAGAUGUGAAAGCCCGGGGCUCAACCUCGGA